UAACGCGAAGAACCUUACCAGGUCUUGACAUCUUCUGCUAACCUAAGAGGUUAGGCGUUCCCUUCGGGGACGGAAUGACAGGUGGUGCAUGGUUGUCGUCAGCUCGUGUCGUGAGAUGUUGGGUUAAGUCCCGCAACGAGCGCAACCCUUAUUGUCAGUUGCCAGCAUUUAGUUGGGCACUCUGGCGAGACUGCCGGUGACAAACCGGAGGAAGGUGGGGAUGACGUCAAAUCAUCAUGCCCCUUAUGACCUGGGCUACACACGUGCUACAAUGGACGGUACAACGAGUCGCGAAACCGCGAGGUCAAGCUAAUCUCUUAAAGCCGCUCUCAGUUCGGAUUGUAGGUUGCAACUCGCCUACAUGAAGUUGGAAUCGCUAGUAAUCGCGGAUCAGC
rnacentral:rRNA from 1 species